CUAAGUAGACAUUUGGCUGAGAGGAUGAGUGAGCUUACAGUAAACUUUUUAUUUAUUUAUUUUUAUUAUUCAUUUUUUUUAACCUGCACUGAUGAAUCAUUCACAAUAAUGUGGUUUAAAACUUUAAACUUACAAAGUGUUUAAUGUUGAAUGUGUUUUUUGAGCAUGUCGGGUAUUUUUAAAAAGAUUUGAGAAAUUUUCCUUUAGUGUUACAUUGACAGCAUAUCAUUUCUUUUCAAUACAGCACUUCAUUCCUCUGUAUAGUUUCUCUUGGAUGUAGAGCUAUUAUCUUAUCGCACAGGUGAAGAUAUAAGAACUCAAUUUGUGCAUAAUUUUAUCAGUUCUGAAACAGCAGUUAUUAAUAAUGUAUCUGUAUGAAUUCCAUAUAAACCUGUCUGAUAGAGUGCUGAUUUUCACAUACUUUUUUUUUUUUUUUUUUGCUCCGUGUCUUUGCUCCACUUGCAGGCUCAAAGAUUUAUACAUCAAGUGAUAAUAAUCUUGCACUAAAAGGCUUUUCUAUUCUGCCAAAUCACCUCAGAUUUGCCGUCAAGAGGUGAGCUGUAUGUGUGUGUACAUGUGGUGGAGGUUGGCAGCCAUUACUCGGUUCUUCGGAAGCACCUGUCUCCAUGACGAUAACAACCCUGCCCUCCUUUGUCUACAUUAAGCUUCUGAAGAAAAAUGUGGCUGUGCCAAGUCAGAAUUAAGUUUUACAGCACUAGUAUCUGUGUCUUUUAUGGAGGGAGCAGAACUCAAAUGUGAGAUGAGCCUUCUUCACCUCUAUUGAAACGCAGUGUGAUGAAUGGGCAGGUCAUUGAUUCUGGCAUCGGAAACACGUCCUCCACCCUUAUGCAUAUUCUCCAUAGGAUACAGUAGAUCACACGGGUCCAACGCAUCCAUCACUCACAGGUGAUAAUUGUCAAAAUCUCCGUGACUCGUACAAUAAUAUGAUGGGCAGAAAGAGUGUUGGGUGUCCGGUUUGUCUGGAUGUUGUCUUAGGAAGUUUGUGAUGUAAACAUUUUCGGUUGUUAUAGUAGGGCUACACUAUAUUUGGCUAGGCUAUUUGUGCCAGCAAUUUUACAUAAUAGCCAUUUGAAGUUAUAUGCCAGCCCCUUUGAGUUUGUUUCUUAACUAAUUUGAUUAAUUAAUUUGAUCAUGCUUUGAUGCUUGGAUUCUGCUUCAAAAAGAAUGUAGAGAAUAAAUAUAAACAUUAUUUUUCUUAUUUUUCAGAGUGU